CUCUGGCGGGCAGGCAGAUGUACCACAGCACGGAGGGUUGCCAGACAAGCAGAGCAACAGACACUAUGGCCUGGCAUAGAGGAGGGCACUGUGCCUGCUCCCAGUUCUACAGAUCCUUCACCUCCCUGAAAUCUAUCCUGGACUGGCCCUGGCCUGGUGGGGCAAAUGCAGGUACCAAAGGAGACAGCAAAGUCCUUCCCCAGACUGCUGGGUCCACAUCUGCAGCAUUCUGGAGAACUCCCUGCUUCCCCCUUUCACUCUGGCUUAGAGGCAAGCAAUUCCCUAUUUGGGUUGGAAGGCAACUAGAUGUGAUCCUGAGAUUACAAAGCUCCUGCUUGUUAGAACGGCCGGCACCUGACCCAUGAAAGGUAAAGACUGUGUUAUAUCCACUUGCCACCAUUGCCUCUCAGGAUUUCAUCUCAAAUAUAUCCCUUCAUUCUGAAGCUGGAAUUCAAGAGUCUCCCCCAAAGAUCUUUGUUGGUUUAUUUUUCAGAUUAGUGGUAUGGUAACAUGACAAACACAUUCUUGACACUGGUAAAAAUUACAUUUGACCUGUGUGUCAACACAACUUA